rnacentral:rRNA from 1 species
CCCCUAGAUGUUCUGGGCCGCACGCGCGCUACACUGACCAGUGCAACAAGCAUCCGUCCUUGGCCGACAGGCCCGGGCAAUCUUUGAACGCUGGUCGUGAUGGGGAUAGACUUUUGCAAUUUUUGGUCUUCAACGAGGAAUUCCUAGUAAACGCAAGUCAUCAACUUGCAUUGAUUACGUCCCUGCCCUUUGUACACACCGCCCGUCGCACCUACCGAUUGAAUGGUCCGGUGAAGCCUCCGGAUUGGCGCGCACCUCGGUGCCGCCGAGAAGUUGGCUAAACCUUACCAUUUAGAGGAAGGUGAAGUCGUANCA